rnacentral:rRNA from 1 species
UACGAACUGUGCAAACGUUAUUCGGAUUCACUGGGCUUAAAGGGUGCGUAGGCGGCCAUGUAAGUAGGGUGUGAAAUCCCCCGGCUUAACCGGGGAACUGCGCCCUAAACUGUGUGGCUUGAGUGAGAUGAGGGGUGUGUGGAACUUCCGGUGGAGCGGUGAAAUGUGUUGAUAUCGGAAGGAAGCGGCCGGUGGCGAAAGCGACACACUGGGUCUCAACUGACGCUGAGGCACGAAAGCCAGGGGAGCGAACGGG